GUUGUGUUAGGAAGGAGGACGGGAAUGGUAAAUGCUGACGCUACAGGCGGCAGUCUGUGCCUCAGAGAGAAAAUUUAUCCCAACCUUGCUGGGGGCCUUGACGCCCAUCUUCCUCCAGAGCACCCCGACAGUCACCCCGCCCUCUGGUGUCCUCCCACCCCGAGCCCGAUCUUCCCCCUUCACGCCUGCCCCGGGCCAAUAGCCUCCUAACUGCGUCCUCUCUGAUUGCGUGUGUCGUGCUCAUUACGCCCUAUCCGUCGUUUCUUCGCUCCACAAACGUUUACUGAGCGCCUUCAACUUGCCAGGCACUAAUUAGACUAGCGCAGAGAAACGGGGAUAAGUACUGAUGAGGGUCCCAGCCCUCAGCGAUCGGAUUUCAGAGGGGGAGAUAAAGGACUGCCCAGAAGGGUGGUGAGUGGAGUAGUUGAUAUAAACAACGAGGUGCGAUGAAAUACACAGGAGGGCUGCUAAUCACAUAUGGGGUGGGUGCCGAGGGCCCUUAAUUAAGGGAGGCUUCCUGGACGGGUGACACCCAAGCGGAGUCCUGACGACCCGCGUCAGAAGUAGUCAGGCGAGGAGGAGGGUAAAGGAAUCCACGUCCCAAGCAGAGAAGCAGCUUUCCCUACACAGCACAGGACACGGUCCGCGCACAGAAGCCGCAGGAGACGCAGGCACAGGGGCUGGGGAGAAUCCUUGCUGGGCCCUCGCCGUCCAUGCGCCGCCUCCCUCUGCCCGGUGUCUGGUGUCAGCCUCCUGCCUGGCAGAGGAACUCCAGCCCCUGCUCCCCGAAGCUCCUCCAGGCCUUCUGCUUCCCUGACUCGGAAUGGGCCCGCUGUCCAGUGGGUACAAGGCUGGUCUCCCCGCCCACUGGUGACGACGUAAAGAUCCAGCUCAGCCUGGUUUCCCCUGGUGAUGAUAUCUUGCGACUCGUCUUUCUCCAGGAAAACAGGGACCGCUCUCCGCCUACAGGUCUCUUCCACAGACCUAUCUUGUUUUCACCCCCUGUCUCUUUUGGUUCAGUCUUUUCGCUCAUACAAACAAGGAAGUCGCCCCUAGCCCAGCCGCGGCUCCUUAGCUGGAGGCGGGCCCGGGGGUGGAGUCAACCGCGGUGGCCACGCCUCCUGGGAAAGGGCAGGGCAUGCAAAUUCGAAAUGAAAGCCCGGAAACCCCGGAACUAGAACUGGUAUGGAGUCUCACUCUGUCGCCCAGGCUGGAGUGUAGUAGCGCAAUCUUGGCUCACUGCAACCUCGGACUCCCAGGUUCAAGAGAUUCUCCUGCAUCAGCCUCCCAAGUAGCUGGGACUACAGGCACGUGCCACCACGCCCGGCUAAUUUUUGUAUUUUUAAUAGAGACGGGGUUUCUCCGUGUUAUCCAGAAUGGUCUCGAUCUCCUGACCUCGUGAUCCACCUGCCUCGGCCUCCUAAAGUGCUGGGAUUACAGGCGUGAGUCACCGCGCCCGGCACGCCCGGCUAAUUUUUUUGUAUUUUUAGUAGAGAUGGGGUUUCACCGUGUUCCCCAGGCUGGUCUCGAGCUCCUGAGUCGAGACGGGAUUUCUCCGUGUUUGCCAGAAUGGUCUUGAUCUCCUGACCUUGUGAUCCACCCGCCUCGGCCUCCCAAAGUGUUAGGAUUACUGGCGUGAGCCACUGCGCCCGGCAGAUUUUUCUUUUAAAACGUGGAGAAUAAGAAAUCAGCCCGAGUGUGUAAUGGCGUCAAUAUUGGUGUGGACAAGACAAAGUGAAUGAGAUCUCUUCAACUACCUGUGAAAACUGAUGUGAUGAAAAGGGGAAUUUGAAGGAGCCAUUCCAGAAGACAGGGCGAAAACUGAAGUGCAAUCAGGGCCAAGAAAAACAGAAAUAGCAGGACCUGGAGUUGCAUAGGUUGAAUAGUUGAAUAGGCUGCUCUCCUCAGCUGGCAGGAAACCUGGCAGCCUCCUGGUGCCCAAGGACUGAAAACCUUAGAAGCACCUGGAGUUGGCAGCCUUGGCAUGGUCAGGUUGGCACCUCUGGAGGUGCCCAGGCUUCCCUGGCAGCAUUGUGAGCAGUGGAUGGUGUUGAAGGGCAGCCAGAGGAGGAAUGGAACACAUGCUCCUUGCUAACCACACGGACAAGGCCACGUUCACAGGUACACAAAGGCAACGCAGUUGCUCAGGUGCUUCGGUAUCACAGCCAAGACCCCUUCGGGGGAAGCUAGUCGGAUACUGGGACCCACAUUCCAGACUACUGAGCCGCGGUCGCGCCCUCGGCUCCGUUUCUGCUCCCUCCACCCCACGAGGACGGGGGUGGAAGGCCACCUUCGAUGGGUGCAUCCUCCACGAUGACCUGCUAACAAAGGUGCAUGGAUUUCAGAGUCUGAUUGGCCUACAACAGCAUUUGGCUUGUGGAGACAGUGGUUCCCUGAUGAAAAACUGCCAUGAUGGGAAUAGAAACAAUCAGAGGAAACUUCCGUGAGUUCCCAGGACACAUCCACCCACCUCCUCCACGUGUAACCACCACCUCUACCUUCCCCUCUGGUGCUGUGGAUGAGCCAUCCGUGCUCCUGGCAAAGGCCCACCUGCCACUUGGGCACAGGAACCCAUCCAUCCCUCCUUACCUCUGGUAACUCUCCCUCUCUCUCUCCUGCAUCCUUCAUAUUCUCUGGGUUGUAUUCUCUUCCAGCCCCCACCCCCUGCCCACCUCCAGCAUGUAAAAGUGCUGUUAUUGUUUCCACUUUAAAACAAACCCUAAAAAUAAGUAAAUAAAAUAAACCCUACCCUGACCCCACUUCACUCUAUAGUUACCAUCUCAUUUCCCUUCUUUUAACAGGAAAACUCCUCCAAACACUUGUCUAUAUUUGUCCCUGUCAUUCUCUCUCUCUCCCCCCUCUCUCUAUUUUUUAUUUUAUUUUAUUUUAUUUAUUUAUUUAUUUGAGACGGAGUCUCACUCUGUCACCCAGGCUGGAGUGCAGUGGCAUAAUCUUGGCUCACUGGAACCCCUACCUCUUGUGUUAAAGCAAUUCUCCUGCCUCAACCACCUGAGUAGCUGGGAUUACAGGCGCCCACCACCUCGCUGGGCUAAUUUUUGAAUUUGUAAUUGAGAUGGGGUUUCACCAUGGUAGCCAGGCUGGUCUCAAACUCCUGACCUCAAGCGAUCUGCCCACCUCCGUCUCUCAAAGUGCUGGGAUUAGAGGUGUGAGCCACCACGCCCGGCCUAUUUAUUUUUUUGAGACAGAGUCUCCCUCUGUUGUCCAAGCUAGAGUGCAGUGAUACCAUCUCGGCUCACUGCCACCUCUGCCUCCCAGGUUCAAGUGACUCUCCUGCCUCAGCCUCCCUAGUAGCUGGGAUUACAGCCAUGCACCACCACACCUGGCUAAUUUUUGUAUUUUUAGUAGAGAUGGGGUUUCACCACGUUGGCCAGGGUGGUCUUGAGCUCCUGACCUCAGGUGAUCUGCCCACCUCAGCCUCUCAAAGUGCUGGGAUUACGGGCAUGAGCUGCUGUGCCCAGCCUCAAUUAUUUUAAUCUUUGAAUAACUUCGGACUUGCAGAAAAGUUAAAAGACUUACAUGGAGAACUUCUCUACCCUCUUCCCCAUCCCCGCAAGGUACACAGUUGGUAAAGCGAGAAGUCUGGGGUUCAGUGACACACUUCUUAACUCCCAAGUUCGUGCUCUUUCUUUUCUCUCUCUCUCUCUCUCUGUUGUCUCUCCCUCCCUCCUUCACUCCCUCUCUCUCCCCUUGAUGGCCACAUUUACUUUAUAAUUUUCUCUCUCACUCUUUCUCUGUCUCACUCUCUCUUACACAACACACACACUCAUAAGAAGACACCUAUAUACAUUUUUUUCCUGAACCAUUGGUAAGUAAUUUGCACACAGGAUGUCCCUUCACCCCCCAGUCCACCAAUACUUCGGUGUGUUUCCUAAGAACAAAGGCCUUCUGGAAGUUUCACAUUAAUUCCAUACUGGAUCUACAGUCCGAGUUCAGAUUUCACCAAUUGUCCCAAUAAAGUCCUUUAGGUUUUUCUGGCCCAGGAUCACUUGUCACUUUUGGUUGUCAGGUCUCUUUAAGUCUCCUUCAGCCUUAUGUGUUGUCGACCUUUUUUUUUUGAGACAGAGUCUCACUCUGUUCCCCAGGCUGGAGUGCAGAGUGGUGCUAUCUUAGCUCACUGCAACCUCUGCCUCCCGGGUUCAAGAGAUUCUCCUGCCUCAGCCUCCCAAGUAGCUGGGAUUACAGGCCCCUGCCACCACACCAGAGUAAUUUUUGUAUUUUUAGUAGAGAUAGGGUUUCACCACAUUGGUCAG
rnacentral:lncRNA from 1 species